rfam:Pelodiscus sinensis unplaced genomic scaffold scaffold3206, whole genome shotgun sequence.
UCCCUGAUGGUCUAGUGGUUAUAAUUCAGCACUUUUACUGCUGAAUCCUGGGUUUGAUUCCCAGUCCGGGAA